AGAGUAGGAAGGACAGAAGGAAGAUUUCAUAAAGAUUUUUUAGUGUUGUAGAAAAUUUACAUACCAAAAUUGAAAGAUUCAGACUUUCAUAGAAGAAAAAUCCAGACGCUGAAACAAUGAACUUGGAGUCUGACUCACAUGACUUGAAUCGAGGAAGCAGACAAUUUCAAGGAGCCAGGAAGAAAAACGAAGCAAAAGCAACAACACAGCACUUCCACUCUGGUCACUUAGAUGCCAGGUUUUUUUAAAAAAAAUAAUUGAA